UGCGAGCGUCCGCGCAUUUUCGAUACCGCGAGAAUUCCGUUUUCCAGCGCUGGGAAGGACCUCAGUGAAUUGGGGCUUUAGUUUUCGUUAGCGGAGGCGGCGUGUUCUGUGCUCUUUUUGGCCCGGGGCGGUUACGGCCGUGUCCUACUGUUAGGCCUUUUAGGCUGAGGAAUGCGUUCCUUCCCCCUUUGGCGCCACCGUCACUGGCCAUUCUGCAUCGUUUUUGUUUUUUUUUUUCUAGGAUGGGGUUUCACCAUGAUGGCCAGGCUGGUCUUGAACUCCUGACUUUAGGUGAUCCACCCACCUCGGCCUACCAAAGUGCUAGGGUUUACAGGCAUGAGCCACCGCGCCCGGCCCCAUUCUGCAUCUUUCGUGAAGUUUCAGUUCCAGUCUUCGGCCUAUUUUUAAAGCCGGUCUUUCGAGUUUAACGGUUGUGAACGCACAUGUUUUGUUAGAUAGAUGCAUGUAUGUUCUGAAUACAAAUCUUUUGUUACAUAAAUUAUUGCGAAGUCUUUCAAUCUGGGCCAUGUCUUUUCAUUGCUAUGACCAUGUUUUUGGUAAAAGAAGUUGUUAAUUCUGGUGAAGUCAGUUGGUCAGUUGUUGUUGUUGUUUUGAGACAGAGUUUCGCUCUUGUUGCCCAGGCUGGAGCGCAAUGGCGCAGUCUUGGCUCACUGCAACCAAUGCCUCCUGGGUUCAAGCAAUUCUGCUGCCUCAGCCUCCCAAGUAGCUGGGAUUACAGGCGUGCGCCACCACACCUGGCUAAUUUUAUAUUUAGAAAGACGGGGUUUCCCCAUGUUGGUUAGGCUGGUCUUGAACUCCCGACCUAAGGUGAUCUGCCCGCCUCGGACUCCCAAAGUGCUGGGAUCAGGCGUGAGCUACCGCGCCCGGCAAGUUGGUCAGUUUUAUCAUUUAUGGUUUGCGCUUUUUCUGUGCUAGGAAAUCGCUGCCUACCUCAAGUUCGUGAAGGUCUUCUGUGUUCUAUACAUGUCUUAUAUAGUCUUUUAAGUGUAAGCCUAUUGUCUAAUAGCAUUGAUUUUUGCUUAUGUUGUCUGGUUGGUAAGUGUCACAUUUUCCUAUAAGAAUACACAGUCGUUCCAUUACCAUUUGUCGAAAACUCAUCCGUUGAAUUGCCUUCGUCUUGUGACCGUAUAUGUGUGAGUCUGUUUCUGGAUUUUUGUCCCAAUGAUCUGUGUAUCAGUACCACACUGUUUUUUAAGGUUUUUUUAACUAUAAAAUGUACAUUUUGUGCAAGUUAUGAUUUUAACUGUUUUUAAGUGUACAGCUCACUGGCAUUAACUAUAUUCACAUUGUUGUGCGACCCUCACCACCAUCCACCUGCGCAACAUUUUUCGUCUUGUAGAACUGAAACUUUGUAUCCAUCAAACAGCAACUCCCCAUUUCCCCCAAUUCCAAGUUCCUGGAGACCACCCUUAGACUUUCUGCCUCUGUAAAUGUGUCUACUCACAUGAGUAGACUCAUACAAUAUUUGUUAUUUUAGGAGGGGCGCGGUGGCUCACGCCUGUAAUCCCUGCACUUUGGGAGGCUGAGACGCAUGUGUCACCUGAGGUCAGGAGUUCAAGACCAACGUAGCCAUCGUGAUGAAACCCCAUCUCUGCUAAGACUACGGAAAAUUAGCUGGGCGUGGUGGCAGGCACCUGUAAUGCCAGCUUCUCAGGAGGCUGAGGCAAGAGAAUCACUGGAACCUGGGAGGUGGAGAUUGCAGUGAGCCAAGAUCGCACCACUGCAUUCUAGCCUAAGCGACAAGAGCCAAACUCCAUGUCAAAAAAAAGAAGUUGCUCUUUUGUAACUGGGUGAUUUCACUUAGCAUGGCUUCCAUUUCAUCCAUGUCGUAGCAUGCCAGAGUUUCCUUUUUUAAGACUGGAUAAUAUUCCAUUGUAUGUAUAUAUCAUAUUUUGUCUAUCCACUCAUAUGUUAGUGGAUAGUUAGAUUGCUUCUACCUUUUGGCUGUUAUGAAUAGUGCUAUUAUGAACUUGGGUGUACAAAUACUCUUUGAAACCUGCUUUCAAUUAUUUUGGGUAUAUGCCCAGAAAUGGAAUCACUGGAUCAUAAGUUAAUUCCAUUUACAAUUUUUCCAGGAACUACCAUACUGUUUCCAUAGCUGCACUAUUUUACACUUCCAUCAGCCACACACAAGGGUUCUAACUUUCCUGCAUCCUCACCAACACUUGUUAUUUUCUGGUUUUGUUUAUUGCCAUCCUAAUGGAUGUGAAGUGGCACACUGUAGUUUUAUAGUAAAUUUGGAAAUCGGGCUCACCUAGAUUGGGUGUCCAAUCUUUUGGUUUCCCUGGACCACAUUGGAAGACUUGUCUUCAGCCACAUAUAAAAUAUCCUACACAAGUGAUAGCUAAUGAGCUUUAAAAAUAUCACACAAAAAAAAAACAAGCUUGACUUAGAGCAUUUCCAACUUCUCUUCUGCACCUAUGUCACUUUGGGGUUGGGAGGGGAGAUGGAGUCUCACUCUGUCGCCUAGGCUGCAGUGCAGUGGCACAAUCUUGGCUCACUAUAACCUCUGCCUCCCGGAUUCAAGCAAUUCUCCUACCUCAGCCUCCAGAGUAGCUGGGACUACAGGUGUGUGUCACCACAUCUGGCUGAUUUUUCUGUAGUUUUAGUAGAGAUGGGGUUUCACCCUGUUGGCCACACUAGUCUUGAACUCAUGACCUUGUGAUCUCCCCAUGUCAGCCUCCCAAAGUGCUGGGAUGACAGGCAUGAGCCACCGUGCCUGGCCACCUGUUACCACCUUUUUAAAGUGCAGUCAAACCUUUGGUACUUCCACACCAUCAGAGAAGUGCUGUCCUUUGUCAGAGCUUGCCCAUUCUACCUCCCUGCGAGUCCAGUGUGUCUAUUAGAGGAGCAGUCUCUAGGCUGGAUUGAGAAACAGGUGGUCCUGGAUCUGAUUUUGCUGACGGUUACAGAUUUGAACAGUAUGAAAUGUACGUGUCUUUCUGGAGACGAAGUGGUUUCAUCAAGCUAACUUUCAUAAUAGAUUCAUGAAAGGAAAAGAUGGAGAGCAUUGCCCUGCUCUGUGAUUACUGUGUUUGGGGCAGCAGUCUUCAAUAUAAACAGGAAAAGAUGGAGAGCAUUGCCCCGCUCUGUGAUUACUGUGUUUGGGGCAGCAGGCUUCAAUAUAAACAGGUUCUAGAGCUCAGGAAUGAAAUACUUAACUUGGGAUGUGCUUAAAGAACUUUUUAGACCUCCUGGAAGUUGUUCUUAUCUUGACACUUCAGUGAUUCUCUUCUUUGCGCCACUGGUUAUGUGACCUGAGACAAAUCACUUUGACCUCUCUGAAGUUUACUUUCUUCAUCUGUAAAAUAAAUGAGAUAACAUACCUCUUUUCUAAGGUCCUCCCUCUCUCAAAGAUUAUUUUAUUCUGUCCUGUGAUUUGAAAUUAUACUUUAGAUGAUUUGAAGAUAAAGUAUGCGAUUUGAUCUUUGGUUAAGGUGAAGAAACUACUGGGACAAGGCAGGCCUAGGCCUAGUAUCAGCCAAAAGGACUGACACCUCCUCCCUGUCUUCUGAGAGUGGUAGAAAGUUGGUAUCCAAAGAGUUUACAGACUCAGGCUUAAUUUGUCCAUGAGUUACCAUGAAGAAGAACCAUUGGUAGUAGGAAUUUUCAGGCAAAGAUUCUGGGUAUUUAGCCUUUUAGAGUGUGAUUACGCCAACUUAGGGGAUAGGACUCUGGAGAACAAUCAGGAAUCCUAGCGGGGAAACAAACAAAAUAAUUUUCUAGAAAAUAGAAAUGAUCGAAAUUGACUCAAAAGAAAUAGAAGUCUUGAAUAAACCAAUAAACAUGGAAGACAUUGAAUUAGUAAUCCCGACUCUCCAGACAACUGUGGAAGACAUUUUGAGACAAAUGGGAAACUUGAUCAUGGCCUAGAUGUUACAUGAUACCAAGGAAAUAUAUUUAAUUUUGUUAGAUGUGAUCAUGAAAUUUUGAUUAUGUAAGAAUAUGUGGUGUGGUGGCUCACACCAGUAAUCCCAGCAAUUUGGGAGGCCAAGGCAGAGGAUCACUUGAGCCCAGGAGUUAGAGACCAGCCCUGGCGAUGUCACGAGGCCCUGUCUCUACAAAAAGUUUAAACAGUAGCUGGGCAUGGUGACACACACCUGUAGUCUCAGCUUCUGGGGAGGCUGAAAUGAGAGAAUUGCUUAAGCCAAGAGCUGAAGCCCGCAGUGAGCUGUAAUUGUGCCAUUGCACACCAGCCUGGAUAACAGAUUUAGACCCUCUCUCUAAAAAAGAAAAAAUGUCUUUGUCUUCUCAUCCUUAGCUUUUUAGAGGAUGCAUACUGAUGUAAGUAGGAAUGAAAACACAUGACAUCUGGGAUUUGCUUUAAAAUACUCUGUAAAACAAAAAUGAAGAAAAUACAUUUCUUUUUUCUUUUUCUUUUUUUUUUUUUUUUUGGAGACUGGGUCUUCCUCUGUCUGCUAGGCUGAAGUGCAGUGGCACAAACAUGGCUCACUACAGGCUUGACCUUCCGGGCUCAAGUAAUCCUCCCACCUCAGCCUCCCCAGUAGCUUGGACCACAAGCACAAGCCAGCGUGCCCCACUAAAUUCUUAAAUGUGUUGUGGAGAUGGGCGUCUUGCCAUGUUGCUGAGGCUGAUCUCAAACUCCUGGGUUCAAGACAUCUUCCUGCCUUGGCCUCCCAAAAUGCUGGGAUUACAGGCCUGAGCCACCACGCUUAGCCAGAAAAUAAAUUUUAAAAUGGAUAUUGAGUGAAAUGGGCAAAAAUCUUGUUAAUUGUUGCCUCUAAAUGAUAGAUGGGAUUUAUUGAGCUAUGUUCUCUACUUUUAUAUAUCUUUGACAUUUUUCAUAAUGAAACUAUUGAGAACAAACAUGGUCUUCCUUUCCACAAGACACAGAUUCCAGAUUUUUUUUUUUUUUUUUGAGAUGUAGUUUCGCUCUUCUUACCCAGGCUGGAGUGCAAUGGCUCAAUCUCGGCUCACCGCAACCUCCGCCUCCUGGGUUCAAGCAAUUCUCCUGCCUCAGCCUCCCGAGUAGCUGGGACUACAGGUGUGUGCCACCAUGCCCAGCUAAUUUUUGUAUUUUUAGUAGAGACGGGGUUUCACCAUGUUGACCAGGAUGGUCUCGAUCUCUUGACCUCGUGAUCCACCUGCCUCGGCCUCCCAAAGUGCUGGGAUUAUAGGCGUGAGCCACCGUGCCCGGCCCCAGAUUGUUUUGUAGGCAAAUUUUUCAGACCCUAAAGGAACAAUAAUCCCUUUCUCAAAUGUUUUGGAAAACUAAAAAGCAGAGGUUAUCUAACCUACUUUGUGAAUAUCAAGACAGUACAAGAAAGUUAGAGGCCAGAGAAUCGAGUUUACACAGAUGCAGAAAACACGGGCAAACCUGAGGUCCCAGAAUGGCAGUCGUGGGUUCGGUGGCUGCAGAGCUUGUGCUGGAUGUGCUGCCUUAUUUUGAUGAAGGUUAUGAAGCCACUGGUGUGCAGGAAGUGGCUGCAGCACUGGCGGAGGAGGAAACUUGCAGAUACUGACCUGCUAAGAACUACCUGAGCUACCUGACAGCUGGGAUUAUUCUUCCUUUGAAACUGACAUAAUGAGAAAUGAAUUUGAAAGACUGGCUGCUUGACAAUCAGUUGAAUUGCUCAGUAUGAAACGAUAUGAGCUUACAGCCCCUUCCUCUGGUUAAAAAAAAAAUGACAUUACUGCAUGGUAAGAAUGUGUAAACAAUUUUAUGGCCCAGUUAGAGCAUCAAGCAGUUAGAAUUGAGAAUCUAGAACUAAUGACACAGAUUAAUGUGACAUUAUUCCAAGAAGUAAUGCCUGGAAAGUGUGCAAUGAAAAUUCAGUUCAUGUAAUUGAACAACUACAGAACAAACUUCAGAAGUUAAGAAAACAUACUCAAGAUUUAAACUGGCAGAGAAAGAACAUGCAACUCACAGCUGGAUCUAAAUUGAGAGAAAUGGAGUCAAAUUGGGUAUCCCUGGUCAGUAAGAUUAUGAGAUUGAAUAAAUGAUUGUUCAGCUAGAAAAUUAAAUCUAUCCAAUUAAGCAGCAACAUGGAGAGGCAAACAAAGAAAACUUCCGGCAAGACUUCUGAAAAGAUGGUUUAGCAGGUAGAAGAAAAGCUGGGCUUUCACAAAAAGCAUCUGAACUUUUAAUGAACUGUGAAGGACAAGAGCAUCUUCCCCCAAACCAAUGAUGUUUUAGUGUUUAGAAAUCAUGGAAUGUGUAGGCUGCUGUAGUAAUUUUAUUUGUAUAUCUCAACAAUUAAAAUGUCUAGCUUGGUGGUAUUUUUAUUGCCAUUAAAAAAUCUUUAGGCUUUCAAAAUAAGUAUGACUUUAGAAUAAUAUUAUGUCACAGAGUUAAUUUUGAGCCAUGUGGGCCAUAUUUUAUAUCCAAUGUUCUUUAUUUAAAGUUCUCAACAUGUACAGGAAGUUGGAAACUUUUGGCUUAUGACUUUGUCUAAUAAAGAUAUAGUUCUAAACACA